UUACUUUAAGAUUUUGGAUAAAUAUGUGGUGUGCUUAUCACAAAGGUAUUGUUCUAUAAUAAGAAGUUUCACAAUAUUCAAUGCUCCUCAUGUGUGGGGGGAGUUUUUCACUAUGGAGCAUUGAAUAUUGUGAGACUUCUUCUUUUAGAGCAAUACCUUUGUGAGAGACACACUACAUAUCCAUCCAAAAUCUUAAGGUGAUAGAUGUGUGAGUUAUCCUAUUUAUAAAUAUUCAAAUCUUC
rnacentral:lncRNA from 1 species